rnacentral:tRNA from 1 species
GGGUCGGUGUCCCGAGCGGCAAAGGGGACGGACUGUAAAUCCGUUGGCGUAGCCUUCGCUGGUUCGAGUCCAGCCCGGCCCACCU